GAGGAUUUAGCUCAGUGGUAGAGCGCUUGCCUAGCAAGCACAAGGCCCUGGGUUCAGUCCCCAGCUCC
rfam:Rattus norvegicus chromosome 17, whole genome shotgun sequence.